rnacentral:lncRNA from 1 species
UACUUAUACAGAACAUUUGCUGUUGGUUACUGUAAACCUCUGAGUAUGGAAAUAAUGCAGUUCGUGCCAAAAAUGAAAGUGUCAAAGGAGCGACUUAUGGUCUGGAAGCCAUUCAAAAAUAUCGAAGAGAUAGAUUCUUCAAUGGUGUGAAAGAGGUAUAACCUCACAAGAUGUUUCUCAGGAUCUGGGGUCAGGCGAGGGAUUGAUGUGUCCCUAGAAAAAAAUGUCCAUACCAAGCAUGGCAGACCAAUGGCAAUGACCAGUCUCUCUGCCUGGCAGUUGCUUCAUUCAUGGCAGAUGGAAGGUGAGAGACUAGAAGGAGGUAAUUUCUCCUUGGUCAUUCUCACUUCUGGGAAGGGCUUCACAUCAAAACAUUCUCUCAGCAGGUUUCACGGUGGAUCACCCUGGUUUAUGUUCUUCUUCUUACUUUUGACUGUUGGGCAUAUGGAGGAGUACCUUAAAGACCUUCAGUACAGAACCCCACCUAGCCGACAAAACUCAUGGAAUAGAUGUACUCCUGAAACUGUUAUAGCAGUUUAAUAACUCAGUUGACAGAAAACCCACAGGACAGACAAAAGGAAGUUUUGCAACUGACCAGUUUAGUUGCCUUAUAUCAUGCUUACUCUUUGUAGCAUAGACUUAAAUUGUAUGGCAAGAAUGUAGUUGGAAUGAGUAGAAUUCGUGGAUUUUAGCAUUGCAGGAUUCUUUAUUUU